UUGGCCCAGGAGGUUUGCAGUUACUAUUAUCUUGGAAAUCUGAAACACAGUUUUGCUGGUUUGUUCAUUUGUUGAUUUCUGCCUAUCUCAUAGCGGGCACUUUGGAGUCCUUUCUGUCAAUGUGAAAAAAAAGGAGUGGAGAGGGCAGUAGGACUUCUGGAAGGUUUCUUACAGUUACACCUGAGAUAACAAGCCCUGAAGAGACGCAUACCAAAUGUGGGCGUGGCUUUUGCUGAUAACUACCAGGAUAAGCAAACCCUCAAAGCAGAUUUCCAAAAAUCGGACUUGCAGUUUAGGCCUAUUUUACCAAUGGGAAGGGACCUCAUGAAGGGGGUAAGGUUAACCACAGUCGUCAUCAAUUAUUUUUGCUACCCAUUUUAUGCUUUUCCUUAUGCGAUCCCCUAAUAAUCGCCUCACGUGACUUCAACAUUCUCCUGUAACUGACAAGAAAAGAAGUAAGAAGUUCACUCUUUUGCCGGGAUCACAUCACUAGCACGUAGCAAAGGUGGACUUUAUCUCCGGUUCUUCCUCCAGGACCCAUGCCCUUGACUGCCAAUAUUGAUGAAAAUAGCUUGCCUGGGCAAGAAAGCUAUCUCGUGGGCACAAAAAGGAGCAAACGGUUUAAGACCUUUAUGAACAACGAAUUUCAAAGAAUAAAUUAUAAGAUACUCUGAGAUAGAUUCAACUCUGGGCUGGUCAAAGACUCUCCGAGGCAAAGCUGGCUGAUAUACAUGCAUGUAGUCUGCAGAUGAAGAAAACAAAGGAUCAGAGAUGCCUGCUAGUCUUCCUGAGUAGGAGACCCCCAAACCUCCAUUCACUCCAUCAGGUGGUCCUUCCUGUGCAUCCAUCAUGAUCUCAAUUGUACCAGUGGUAUCUCAUUUGUAAUAAAUGUAACCAUGCUCUCGCAAACAUUUCAUUGCUUUUAGAAAGUUUUGUCUCAAAGAACUCUUUCAGUUAUUUUUGUGGAUAGAAGUAUAGGCAGAAUAGACCCCCGCUGAUAUUUUCUGUCAACCUUCUGGUUCCCUCGGUGAACAAAUCGGUUAAACAAGCUGGCUGACAGAAUGGAGCCCCCACCAGGCUCAUUCCUAUCCGUAAGUGUGAGUGGCACAGAUGCACCUAUUGAUUUAUUUUUAACAGUUCAGAUUUGGGAGCAGGAGCCUGAAUCGUCAGAGUGGUCUCCCCUCUAUGCCUUGUCAUCUCACCAUUGACCCAUUCCUUAAAACCCACACCUAGGGCAAAACCCAGUCUUUCUGAUCCUUCUAGGAAACGUGGCCACAAGGUGACAAAAGCCUCUUGCCUUAGAGAUGACAAAGUCAAGGUUUUAUACAGUUAGAAGGCCAUGAUUGGGGGCGAACAACAGUAACCCGAUUCAUUUGAAGGUGGGAACAAGAUACGCAGCAACUCUCUGGGAGAGCCACGCUUGGUACCUCGGACUCUCCUGGGGAGCCUGGAAAAUGCAGAUUUCCACGUGUUUAACUCCUAGAGAGUUUGAAUUAGUGGGUCUGGGGUGAUGUCUUUGGAAUCGAUUUUGAAAACACACGAAAUGAAACAAAAAACACUCUCUAGGUGAUUCUGCAAGUUCCCGUGUGGGGAACCGUAUUCCCCACACAAGCAACAUAGCUGAUUAGUUUAAAAACUGUGACCAGACCCAGCACUUUCCCACGGGGCCCUUAAGUUGGGGUCCUCCAGUAGGAAACAGGGCUCUGGACUCUGUUCCACGAGAGGCAGCUCAAGAAGCAAGAAACAGGCCUGCAUUAGGGUUAGAGGCCUAGAUACAGAGAGCUAGGAGCCACCUGUGGGCUGCAUGGCUUUGCGCGCUCAAAAGCCUGUACUCCCACUUCUUCAUCCGUAACAGGCUGCGGGCAAUAAUAGUACCUGGAUCCCAUUAUAGUUAUGAGGUUUAAUUCUUUAUAAAAUAUAACACUACUCAGCAUACUGCAAGUACUACAGGAAUAUCUGUUAAAUGAAAAGAUGCCAGAUCGCUUAAGCCUCAACUGUCGUGACACAAGUUAGCUUUCUGUGCAUUUCACUUAAAAACGUUUUCGCUGUACCUGACACCAAGGAUGUAGAGUUAGUAGCUAAGGUCUUCAGUUGUUCUCAAAAGGAAGAGGAAUGUUCUCUCUACCUCUCUCUAUGGAUCUGGGUCCAGACAGGUUUGUGACCUGGCGUUUCUCAUCUUUGUGAAACAGACGGAACACAAAAGUACAACAAAUACUCCCCUCAUCCCAUCACGUUGCGUCAGUCAAACCAAGGCUGCACUGGCACCUGGAUGUCCCCACUCACCGGUUGGAGACUUUCUGCUGUCUCAUUAAUGCCCGCUUCGUGAUACACUGGGAGUCUGAAUCAACCAGAUGCAACCACAUCAAAAGUUUGGAACCCAGGAGGUCUUUAACACCCUUGUCCCAAUUUAAUAAGACGCGGAGGCUCAGAGAGGAUUUGGCUGCAUUUUUUAAGAGCCCCAAAUGUCUUCUCAUU